AACCCAUCCUGUCCAAUCUAAGUCAUAUGACCUUGGGGGGGGUCACAGAUGAAUAGGAACCACACAGAGACUGUCUCCCCAAGCCAAGCUUCAUCAGGGCACCCAGGUCCCAUUCAAAGCUUUCAAGAAGGUUUAUAAAAACCAUUAGACGCUUCUGUACAUGAGUCCUGGAUGGAGCUGAAACAUGCCGGGGAGAGAGCAAAGGAGAAGGGAGAGACAAAGCAGGCUCAGUUCUGCUCACUUCAGAAGCCAGCUCCCCUUUUUGCACCCUCUGCCAUCCAUCCUGCCCAACUAGAACUGAAUAUGAAUUGGGCGCCUUGGGGACCUGCAAAGCCUGUGAGUAUGAUGCGUUGGGGACCGGUUUUGUGGCCAUAAAUUAUGUAACAGCUUCUAUUGCAGCCCAAGCUGGUGACUUCUCAUAUGGAGUAAAUAAAAACAUUAAAUGAUUUUUC